rnacentral:rRNA from 2 species
CAGAUGUGCGAAGGUUCGACGUCAAGGACAGUCCUUCGGGACUUUCAACUUGAGAGUUUGAUCCUGGCUCAGAAUGAACGCUGGCGGCAGGCCUAACACAUGCAAGUCGAGCGAAGUCUUCGGACUUAGCGGCGGACGGGUGAGUAACGCGUGGGAACGUGCCCUUUGCUUCGGAAUAGCCCCGGGAAACUGGGAGUAAUACCGAAUGUGCCCUUUGGGGGAAAGAUUUAUCGGCAAAGGAUCGGCCCGCGUUGGAUUAGGUAGUUGGUGGGGUAAUGGCCUACCAAGCCGACGAUCCAUAGCUGGUUUGAGAGGAUGAUCAGCCACACUGGGACUGAGACACGGCCCAGACUCCUACGGGAGGCAGCAGUGGGGAAUCUUAGACAAUGGGCGCAAGCCUGAUCUAGCCAUGCCGCGUGAUCGAUGAAGGCCUUAGGGUUGUAAAGAUCUUUCAGGUGGGAAGAUAAUGACGGUACCACCAGAAGAAGCCCCGGCUAACUCCGUGCCAGCAGCCGCGGUAAUACGGAGGGGACUAGC